AAAUAUCACAUAUUGAGGUCAGGAGGGCGAACAAAAGAAAUAUUUUUUGUCGAAUGAAAUUAUGUUAACAUAUCGUUUUCCACAAGAAAGGGUAUUUCUGUCCACUUCCUCUACUUGUUAACUGGCUUUAGCAUAAUGGGUAAAUAUUUUUCGAAUAUUUAAUUGGCAGUAAUAUAAUUGCCCAAUCUUCAAACUACGGUAAAAUAAAACUGAAUGAACAUAGGCCCCAGUCAUAUUCAUCAAUCGAAGUCCAAUCAGAUGAACCUGAUAAAUCAUUAACUUAUCACAACGAAGAUGACAAUAAACAACCGUCACAUACUUUACUGGAAAAUCAACAGUUUACUGAUACUGAAUCUUCUACUGCCUGCAACAAAGUUACAUCAAUGGUAAAUCCAGAAGUGGAUACGACACGUCCAUAUACCACAGUUGAACAUAUAACUGUUGUAACAGAUUUAUCGCCAACAUACUAUAGCGAUCCAGAUCAAACUCAUGUUUGUUGUCUGAUGUAUGAUGAAGAUCCACCAGACAAUGCCAGUUAUCUUUGUUUAGCCCUUUUUGCCAUUUGCUGUUGUUGCUGGCCAUGUGCUGGGGUUGCCGUCUGUAAUGCAAGCCAAGCAUCCAACGCAAGAGCACGUGGUGAUGUUAAUGCAACAAAAAGAUAUAAUAAGAUGGCUUAUACUUGUUUUAGAUUGUCAAUUGGUGUUGGAAGUAUUUUUCUCAUUGUUUCACUAUACAUACAUUUUUUUAGAAUGAUAUAAUAUAACAUACAGUAUAUAUCUGACAACUUACCAAGAACAAAACACGAGUUUAUCAGUUAUUUAGUUAAAAAUUGUAAUAAAGGUGCAGAGUA